rnacentral:lncRNA from 1 species
GAUUUUUAUUCUUGAUUGCCUACGACAGCAAUCAGAGGUCAUGAAUUACUUUUUAGAGAUUGAUAAUAAAAUACUAAAAUUUAUCAAUAAAGAGAUCGUAGGCCAUUUUCUUGAGAUUGGCAAUCCAAAAUCAUUGAAAUUUAUCAAUCCAAUAUUCAAUAUGGGAUAGGUGAGAGAAUUGACAUAGUCUGGCUAAAGACUUUAAACAUAGCACUCUUGGGAGGCAACCU